UGCACAAAAGCUUAAGAAUCUACUUUGUAAUUACUAGCAUGAAAAUCCAUUAAUCUCCAAAAGUAACAAAGACAUAUAAAGUGUGACUAAUAUAUCUGCAUAUACUAACAUAUACACAGAAUUGUCACAUGUACAACAACUUAUUCAAUUCAAAUUCCACCUUAUUUCUCCUAAAAACUUCCAUGGUUGAAGCUCAACGGAACUUCAAAAGGAUUAAUAUCAUAAGGCCUUUGUCCAUUAUAAUUACCAGGUGGAUCAUAGUUACAACUAAUAAUGGUGCUACGACCAUUAUUACACUUUACCUUAGCACAUCCAACCCGAACCGAAUUGCGCCAAACAACCUGAGUAUAGUGUCCACACUGAUAACCAGCAGCACAUGAGUUACUGUUGUAAUUAUAGUAUCGCUUCUCUCCGAUCCACAUGUUAACAGCACCUGUUCCUGUUAUGUCACCACUGCCCCAUGCUAGGUUCUCACCAUAUGGACCCCUUGAGUGUACCAUUUGGCAAUUUGCUUUUAAUUUGUUUAUAUAGUUUUGUGCAUAGGAGGCAAGUUUUGUGUCCCAAUUUAUAGGGCCAACACCAACUUCAGAACGUGCUUUGUUGUGAAUGUUGACGUAGUCUUGUGGUGAGUUUUGAGCAUAUGAGAUUUGUGUUGAUGUGGAUAGUACUAGGAUAGCCAUGAGGGGAAGGAGAAGUGAGCUCAUUGGCACUACCAUGUCUAGAGAAGUUUGGUUUUGAUGGAUGUUGUUUGGUAACUCAUUAGAGACCCUAUUUAUAUACAAUAAAAUUUCAAAAGUAUCACUUAUAAACAUAUAUUUAUAUCUUAUCUUAUAUAUAUUAAAAUAUUGAUUAUAAUACUCUAUUGGUUUCUGUAAGUUAAGAAAUUUUUUAAUUUGAUUACUGUAAUUUUUUUGUCUGAGUCCUUAUAUCUGAUUUUUUGUGUUGAUUUUAAUCUUUAAAAUCGAAAUCUGCAUGUUUCCUACAAAUAAUUAGAAACUAAAAUCAACACAAAAAUGAGAUAACAUAUACUUAGAAUUAAAAAGUAUUUAAACCUGCAUGAUUUUAAUGUGGCGGCUAAGUAUAGAAGUAGGAUAGGAUUAUAUGAUAGGAGAGGGGGAUUAAAUUAUACCAUAAUAGUCUAAUAAAUAGAUAUAAUAUACACUCAAUUAUUUAGAUAUAAUAUACACUCAAUUGGGAAAUAUAUCAAUUAUUUAGACAUAAUAUACAUUCAAUUGGAAAAUACAUCAAUUAUUUAGAUAUAAUAUACACAACUUGCAAGAGCCAUCGCAUCUCAUUAUCACUUUAGGUAAAACAACAUCUUGCUGAAUUAUUUAUUUGAAGAGUAGACUUAUCGAUUUUUUUUUGUGUGGGUUGAUUUUCAAAAAGUAAUUUGAUUGUAGUCGAAGAGAAAAGUUUGAUACAAUCUAGAUAAAUAUUAUUCGAGUGACUGUAAACUUCAAAAGAAUUUAAGAUGCAGCAAGGGAAUUGUCAGAGAAUAAAGUUUUCAUUUAUAUUCAAUAUCCUUCAAAAUUGUUCUCAUUUAUAUAAAAGAUAAAACUUCCUAACAACUUUGAAAUCGGGGAUUAAGUAACUGUUGUAAAAAUUGGUAAACAAUAGUUGGUUUUCCAAAUCAAAGAUACUUUAAUUACUCACAGAAUCAAUCAGAUUGAUCAUAUGAUAUGUACUGUUGUUAAAAUUAUAUCUAAAAAAUAAUGAACACUUCGACAACACUCAUGUUUGAAGAUUCUUUGUUUAAAAAAGUUUUAAAGAGAUAAAUUGCAUAAUGUAAAGGAAAAUAUAAUAAAGAUGCUUGAAAAUAACUUGCAAUGGAAGAUAAAUUCUGGAAAAAAAUAUAAAUAAAUUUUAAUUGAAAUGUAGAAAAUGGUGUUAUCAAAUGUACCUUCUCAAUGACACUCUUUUCUCAAUACACUAGAUACUUUGAGUAAUUUUAAGUAUUUGUACAUCAAUUGAACACCCAAAAAUCCUAACAAUAAGACCCUUAUAUAUACUAAGUCGAAAUAACCACUACCAACGACUUUUCUCUCAGGCAAUGACACGUUGCACUCGGCGUGUCUUCAAUCCAUUAUAACGUUUCACACGUCUUUUCUCAAAACUGGAUGAGGACUAAAUACAAUUAUCCAUCAUUUAUUCAAAUUCAAACAUCUGUGUCGAACUCAACUUUAAUGUUGCCUCAGUCGAAUUACCAUUCUAAACUUAUAAGUAUAUCUAAACCUCAUACAACAAUUUCCUCUUACACAAGGAUCACUUCGACUGGAUUUCUCAAACAAUAUUUGUAUGUCAAAGUCCAUGACAUCUUCAAAGAUAUUUUUCUUUCGCUCAUUGAAUCAUGUUUGACGUCGAAACUUCCAGUUAACCAAUUGCCCUCUAAAAAAUAUCUUUUUCGACGUAACAAAGAAAAUGACAUUUUUUGAAAAUUCAAUUCAACGUCACAAACUGUUCACCUGCUAUGACGUCAUUGCUAUGAUGACAACUUUUACAAAAUGUCUCUUCAAAACACACGUGACGUGAGAAUCUUUAUGCAAUCAUCACUCCUCCUAGCCCCUAUGAGAUCGUGGCUAGCCUUUAACUGCCACCGUUCAUCAUGGUCACUCCAACUGACACACGUCCCACUUUCUUUUCAACCAUUAAUGCUUAAUAAAAACCGCUUCCACUUCAGCAGCUUAUAAAUAUGCAUAUUCAUCACUUUUCCAACCUUUUCUCAUUCUGAACUUCCUCAAAAACAAUUUCUUCCACUCUUCAUCUUCCUUAAACAAAAAUCCAUUUUGCUUCUUCUUUCAAUCUCUCUGCAACAAUGGUAUCAUCCGCAAAAACUACCAAAGAAUUAACACAGAACACAAAAGAUUUUAAGAAAUCACCAGGUCUUCCUCUUGCUGACAUGAUAUUAGGCCCAAACACUGUGGGUAAUCAACAAUAUGUACCUGAGCCUCUUACUAAAGAAUAAAGAAGAAUUUUCUAGUCACAGGUAUUGAUCCCUAUCUAUAUUUCUAGCAAAACUCAUACUAUGUUAGGACCAUUAUCAAAUCCAAAUGUUGAUCAUAAUAAGCUCAAAGAGUUCUUCUCAACCUACCAUAGGUACAAACCCAUAGCAUGUGCUAAAAAACCUAAGAUUAGCGAUGAAAUCCAUACUGAGGAAAACCCUAACCCAGAUAACCAAGACAACCCUUCGACGGACGAACCCAUUAAUCUAACAUACAUGAAUAAUGAUUUUAAGGUCUUUCGAUCUUGCCCUUUAUCUAGGGAUCCAUCUGAUUAUCUAGGCUGGUCAGAGAAAAUAGAAAAAAAAUAAUCUCAAGUUUGGAAAGAAAUGGGUAUAUUUGACUGAUUCAAACUAUUUAAAAUCCAAACUAUUUAAAAUAUGAAUGGCUUAUAUGCAAUUACUGUUGCACUAAAAACUAGUUAAAUUGUUAAGAAUUGAAUAAGAUACUGUCUGGUUUAGUUUUGUUUGGUUUCCUUUAUAUGCAUUAGUUAUCUGUCCAAAUUAAACAGGCAUGCACAAAAGCUUAAGAAUCAUGAAAAUCCAUUAAUCUCCAAAAGUAAAAAACAUAUAGUGUGACUAAUCUAUCUGCAUAUACCAACAUAUAUACAGAAUUGUCACAUGUCGAGAAAAGUUUGGUUUUCAUGGAUGUUGUUCGGUAACUCAUUAGAGACACUAUAAAACCUAUUUAUAUACAACAAAAUUUCAAAGUAUCGCUUAUAAACUUAUCUUUGUACCUUAUUUUAUAUAUUAAAAGAUUUUAAGUUAAAGUGGUAUUACCAAGUGGAUAUUUAUCUAAUGUGGCGGCUAAGUAUAGAAGUAGGUAGGAUUAUAUGGCAGAAGAGUCUGCUAAGGGAUUAAAUUAUAUCAUAAUAGUCUAAUAAAUAGAUAUAAUAUACACUCAAUUAUUUAGAUAUAAUAUACACUCAAUUGGGAAAUUCAUCAAUUAUUUAGAUAUAAUAUACACUCAAUUGGGAAAUUCAUCAAUUAUUUAGAUAUAAUAUACACUCAAUUGAGAAAUACAUCAAUUAUUGGUGGCGUGUAGGACACAACUUGCAAGAGCCAUCGCAUCUCAUAAUAAUUUUAUUUUAUUAUUGAUAUUUGGUUUAUUGGACCGAUUAAUUCAGAUCGGGGUCAGUUCUGACAUCAAGUGAUUUCUAUUAGUAUGUGAGAUAUUUUAAUAAGGAAAGAAAGAUAGAAUGAAAAAUAAAGAUGGUUACUAUUGAAUGUGUUAUAUUAAAAAUUAAAUUAUAAAUAAAUAAAUAAAUAAAUAAAUAAAUAAAUUAAAUAUAUAUAUAUAUAUAUAUAUAUAAUAUAUAUUAUAUAUAAUAUAUAUAUUAUAUAUAUUAUAUAUAUAUAUAUAUAUAUAUAUAUUAUAUAUAUAUAUAUAUAUAUAUAUACACAACACUGUAUACCAAAGUAAUUAACAUAAUAAACUUUAACUCUCUAAUCAACUUGGACUUGGAUUAUACUCUCAACAUACCCCCUUAUAAUCAAAGUUAUUAAACACUGGCUAAUCAUAAUUCAUUUGAACUAUUUUAUAAUCGGUGAAAAUAUGGUUAACUAUGCUUCACUUAGAUGUGAAAUUAACAUUUUUGAAUGGCCCUCUAGAUGAAGAAGUGUAUGUCCCACAACCUCGUGGGUACUGGUGCAUAUACUUCACCUAGAUGUGAAAUUAACGUUUUUGACUGGUGCAUAUACUUCAGAGUAGUCAAGUCUUGCUCUCUGAAUAAUUUGAGCAACUAAUCUUUCCUUAUGUCUUGCUAUCGACCCAACAACAUUAUACUUCAACUUGAACAUUCACUUUACUUUGAUAGCUUUUGUAUGUGUUGGCAAUUCGACUAACUCCCAUGUAUUUUAUUUCUUUCGAUCGCUUAUAACUAUUUGACCAUAAAUGACUUCCAUUAUUUAUUCUUUAAAGCCCCACUAUAGUUGAUUGGUUCAACACCUGCAAGUGAAGCAAAAUGAACUAAUUUUCCAUUUGUUCUGACUCCAUCAACACCAACCACUUCAUAGUCUUGAAGCCUUGGUGGGAAAACUCUAGUUAUUUGAGUUCUUUCGCUUGUACUAGCCACACCCUCUUUAAUUUUGAUGGUGUCUGGAAUAUCAACAACUACUUGUACUUCGACUUCAUCAGUUUCUUGGUCGAUGUCAUAGCUCAUCAAAGACUUGUUAAUUGCAUCACCAUAAUUCCAAUCCCAGGCAAAAUUUUCAUUAAUCAUGAUAUCUUGACUCUUUACGAAAUUCUCAUUGAUUGGAUUGAAUAGACAGUUUAAUGAUAUCCUACUAGAAUCAUAGGUUCACUUUUAUCAUCAAGUUCCCUUCUUCCUCCAUUAGGAACAUGCUUGUAGCAAAUAGAGCGAAACAUCUUCGGAUGACUCACCGAUGGUAGUUUGCACUCCACACUUCUUCAUGAACCUUGUUCUUCUGCUUCUUGGUACGACAACUGUUUAUAAUAUAAACAAAAAUGGUGACAACUUCACCCCAUAAGGAUUUUGGGAAAUACUCUUGUUUUUGCAUGCAUCUCGCCAUAUCCAAUAUGGUCCUAUUUAUUCUUUAUGUUAUUCCAUUAUGUUGCAGCGUGUAAAGAGCAAUUACCUCAUGAUCAAUAUUGCGUUCUACACAGAACUCUUCAAAUAUCUUAGAUGUGUAUUCUGCGCCUCCAUCUGUUUGCAGAAUCUUGAUCUUCUUUUCACUCUGGUUUUCGACAAGCAUUUUGAACUUCUUAAGGAUUGAAAACAAAUUGUCUUUGCGCCUGAUCACAUAGAUCCAAAGCUUUCGACUGCACUCGUGGAUAAAUGAGACAAAAUACAUGUUUUCACCAAUGGUAUGAUCCUCGAACGGGCCACAUACAUCUGAAUGUACUACUUCUAGUAUGCAAGAGGACCUCAUUGGCAUAUUCGAAACAAAAGACUUUCUGGAUUGCUUCCCUACUAAGCAACCUUCAUAGAGUUUAUCGAGCAUCUCAAGACUUGAUAUACAUGUUACCAUCUCUUGAGUAAUUAGUUGAUUGAAUGACAUAAAUUCAUAUAUCCAAAUAUUAAAUUCCACAACCAACUGUUCUUGUGGUGGACAACUGUUUUGAGGCACUGUACCUCUGUCGAACUGAUCAUGGUCUUAAGUGUCACAUUCUUUGACAUAGAAGAUUUUAAGACUAAACUAUUCUGGGUGUCGAACUGUUCCAAGACUCCAUCUUUCUUAACCACUGAGAAACCUUUUUCAAACAGUUGUCUAACACUUAGCAGGUUGCACUUCAUUCUAGUUACAUAUAGUACAUCUUUGAUCAUAUGUUUAACUCCAUUUCUCUAUUGCUCCUUUGAAUAACUAUGUUGCAAGUACCUUGUGCUUGCAAUGAGCUCUUAUCUGCAAGUUUGACCAUGCUCUUCUUCGACUCAUCAAAAUAUUCCAACCACAUUUUCCUACCAGUCAUGUGACUCGAGCAACCUGUGUCGAGGAACCAAAUUUUGGAGUCGACAUGGUCAUUUGCAACUACAGCCAUAACCAUCAUAUCUUCAUAAUCAUCUGAAUCUUGGUGUGUAAGGUUUGCUCCUUCCUAAUUUCCCUUUGUCGCUCCCAUGUCUUUUCUAUACCAACCAUUCUUGGCCAAGUGACCCCAUUUUUCAUAGUUAUAGCAUUGCACACAUUUUUUCUCUUAUUUGUCUUACUGAUGGGAGUUUCCUUCUCCUCUUUUGGAGGAUUUAGAAGCCAUAUCAUCUACCUUAUGCUUUUGAAGGUUCGACCAAGAGUACUUAUGAUUCUUGUCUCCUUUGUAUUUGAACUUGUUGGAACCACCAUGUUUCUAUAAUCUAUGAGCAUGUAGUGCUUGUAUAGAACCUUGAACAUAUUUGCUUUCAACAAUCCUCAUCUCAUGUGGCUCCAAUGAACCAACCAAAUCUUCCAGUUUCAUGGUUUCAAGAUUGUUAGAUUCUUGAAUGGCUACAAUAAUGUGAUCAAAGUGAGAGGUCAAUGUUUGCAUUACCUUCUCAACUAGCAUCUUAUCAGUUAGGGUUUCACCACAACCUUUCAUGAGAUCAAUAAGCUUCAGCACCUUUGAGACAUAGCCUGCAAUCUUUUCUUUUUCUAUGAUUUACAGUAAUUCAUAAUGCCUUCGCAAUGUUUGCAAUUUGACAGAUUUAACCUUCUCACAUCCUUCGUAAUACUUGACAAGAAUAUCUCAUGCCUUCUUUGUCGAUUCAGUAUGAGAUAUCCGAUUAAAGUUUGUCGCGUCUAUAUUAGUUAUGGUAAAGGAGCAAGCAAAAGUAAGUAUUUUGAUUUUUAUCGUCUCCAUAGGGAUUAGUACAAUAUCAAUGUCGUUCAACGGUCUCUAUGAUUUUAUACUUAUGUUUGUAAGAUUUAUUUUAAAGCUAAGCUAUGCAAAAUGAAUGAAUAAAUAAAUAAAUAAAGCUUCAGAGAUAUCUGAGAGCUUUACAUGAUUGAAUUUCAUUCACCAUACGAACAUGUAAUUUACCAACCAGUUAAGCACAAUCUAAACAUUCAUCAAUAUUAUCAUGUAUCACUCACAAUAGGUUUCAUGUCUAAACCUCCGUCGAGAGUUCUAUCGUAUUGUUUAAUCGAUGAUCUCUCAGCAUAUCAAACAAUACGGAGCAUCAAGACUUGAUACUCACAUGGAUGUUAAACCUAAAUCUAUGUCCAGAGUUUAACGUCUAACAAAUGAUUAUCCUAGAUCUAUAUUCGAAGAGUAUUUCUCAAUAACGGUUCAAAUCAAUAGAUAAACAAGUAAACAAGGAUAACAUCGAUAUAGAUUAUACAUAACGUCAUGAUUAAUAAAUAUACAUAAUAUAAAAGUGAACUUACAUACAAUCCCCAAAAUAAAGGUAUUUAAUAAAGGAAUGAAGAUGAACAAACAUCAACCGCAAUUUCCCAAUGAUAGAGGCAAAUCCAACUCCGGAUCUUCAAGAAGCACCCUCACUUGUUAUUUUCUAAGUAUCUAUCUCUCCUAACUAAAAAAUGGUGGUUGAUGGAAAUGGGGUUCAAAGUUCCCAAAAUCAUAACCUAAAAUUCUGAUUUGGACCUAUUCAUACAAAGUCGAGAAUUUCCUAUUUCUCUCGGUGAACUCAUCCUCGCCCGGUGAAAUCACAUUUAAGUGUCUUCCACCUGGCUCAAACGUAGUAAGUUGUAAUUGGUAAAAAUAUAUUCUCUCGCCCGACGACCAAAACCUCGCCUGACGAACUCAAAAUCUCAGAUCCUCACCCGACAACCAAGGAAAGAUUUUCCCAUGGAAUCCAAUUUUCUGGCCUCGCCCAGCGAUCUCGCUUCCUCUUUGCCAAUGCUCGCCCGACAAGCAAGCCAGAACUUCCCAAUUCAGCUUUAUUCCUUCUUCUUAGUUUUUAUCCCUUUAUUAUAUGGUUUCCUACAUACUUAGCACACACAUCAAGGAUAUCAAAUCCAAAUUCAAAAUAUAUAACAUUCUAUAAAAAACUGGGGAAAUGAAUCAUUGAAAUCGCAAAUUAGAGCUGAAAAAUGCCAAGUUUUUAUGUACAAAAAUAGUCAAAAUUUGCAUUUAUCAAACUCUCCCCAACUUAAAACUUCACUACGCCAAAAAUGACUUUUAACAGCGCAUCUUAGACAGCGCUUUUAAAAGAAAGCGCUGUCUAAGGUUAAAAUUAAAAUAAAACACGGAAAAUGUUCCAAAAAAAUAAUGAAAGCGCAUCUAGGGGGGGUCUAGACAGGUUCUAAAGCGCUGUCUAAGACCCCCCCCUUAGACAGCGGCUUUUAGAAAGCCGCUUUUAAAUAUAGACCUUUUAGUCGCGCUUUUGAUUUAAAGCGGCUGUCUAAAGUCUUUUAAUUAAAAAAAAAUUAAAACCAAAAGCGCUGUCUAAGGGGGGGUUUAGAAAGCGCUUUUGGAAAGCGCUGUCUAAGGCAUACCUUAGAAAGCGCUUUCCACAAAAGCGCUGUCUAAGGUCUAAUUAAAAUAAAACCCUAAUUUGUAGAUUCAGAGAGAUAACAAACGAGAAUGGGAGGUUCACGAAGAAAAUACAAGAAUUCUCGACCUAAGGUUCGUGUGGGUCUUCCAAAGAAGAACCCUAAAGAUUUGAAACCCGCUUUCACCAUUCCUCCCAAACUGUUACAAUCCCUUGCGGAAGACCCUAAAUGGGAUGAAAAAGGAAGCGUAACACAAAACUACAACUCCUUCGGUGUCGUCAAUGACCCUAACUCUCUCACUGAUUCUCUUCAAGCUCCUUCUGUUUCCGAUGACCCCAACGAUUUCGGCAGUGAUCUCGAAGAAGACGGUAUAUUCUCCUCAAUUCAUUAUCUUCUCUUGCUUCAACAAUUAGUGUGUUUUUGUGUCAGAAAUUGUUUAUAUUUUGUUGAAAUGAGUGUAAAUUUUGUGAAUAAAAAGAGGAAAGCCCCCCACCUUUAUGAAUUAUAGGCCGGUGGUGAGAACAGGGACAGUUAUCGAACUCGAGCCGGACGACCUAAUAAAGAAAAUUCUCACUCGGGUUGCUUGGUGUAGUUAAAGGAACCCGUGAGAAAAAUCUUAAAGUAAAACCAAAAGCCAAUCCUGCCANNNNNNNNNNNNNNNNNNNNNNNNNNNNNNNNNNNNNNNNNNNNNNNNNNNNNNNNNNNNNNNNNNNNNNNNNNNNNNNNNNNNNNNNNNNNNNNNNNNNNNNNNNNNNNNNNNNNNNNNNNNNNNNNNNNNNNNNNNNNNNNNNNNNNNNNNNNNNNNNNNNNNNNNNNNNNNNNNNNNNNNNNNNNNNNNNNNNNNNNNNNNNNNNNNNNNNNNNNNNNNNNNNNNNNNNNNNNNNNNNNNNNNNNNNNNNNNNNNNNNNNNNNNNNNNNNNNNNNNNNNNNNNNNNNNNNNNNNNNNNNNNNNNNNNNNNNNNNNNNNNNNNNNNNNNNNNNNNNNNNNNNNNNNNNNNNNNNNNNNNNNNNNNNNNNNNNNNNNNNNNNNNNNNNNNNNNNNNNNNNNNNNNNNNNNNNNNNNNNNNNNNNNNNNAAGAAAAGAGGAAACUCAAGUAAUCCUUGGAGAACAGUUAUGACCAAGAAAAUCUCAUAGUUCUGUAGUAAGAACCUUGAAAAAUAAAAUAACAAGCCAUCUGCAAACAGAAGAUUGAUACUCC
rnacentral:lncRNA from 1 species